UCAGAUCACCACAUGACCAAUUUCAAGAUGACUUUCAGAGCUGUCUGACUGUGCUGUUCUGCGCAUAGGCACACCUCCUGUGCACCCCUGAAACCCCCCUUUUAAACCUUUUGUCCUCUAACCAACAACUGCAGGUUGGUUUUGGGGGUGCUGGUACACCAUCUCCCCAGGUUGCCAGCUUCCUGAAUAAUGCAUCUUUCUUUUUCUACCAAUCCUUGCUUCUCAAAUAGUGACUCUGAAUGACAAGCAGCAGAACCUGAGUUCACUUCUGGCUCCAGCAAGUUAAGUCUAUCCAGACAUAGUAACUCACACUCCAGUAUAAAACAAAGUCUUUUCCAUUUCCCUCACAAAUACAAAUGUAUCCUAUUUUUCCCCUAAGGAAGUUACAAGAGGUCGGAAAAGCACAC